rnacentral:rRNA from 1 species
UACAGGGGGUGCAAGCGUUGUUCGGAAUUACUGGGCGUAAAGCGCGGGCAGGUGGCCUUUUAAGUCCUUUGUGAAAUCCCGGAGCUCAACUCCGGAUGUGCAUAGGAUACUGGAAGGCUUGGGACUGGUAGAGGCGAGCGGAAUUCCUGGUGUAGCGGUGGAAUGCGUAGAUAUCUGGAGGAAUACCGGUGGCGAAGGCGGCAUCCUGGACCAUUACUGACGCUGAGGCGCGAAAGCUAGGGGAGCAAACGGG